rnacentral:rRNA from 1 species
AGCAGUCGCCGCGGUAAUACGUAGGGUGCAAGCGUUAAUCGGAAUUACUGGGCGUAAAGCGUGCGCAGGCGGUUAUAUAAGACAGAUGUGAAAUCCCCGGGCUCAACCUGGUAACUGCAUUUGUGACUGUAUAGCUAGAGUACGGCAGAGGGGGAUGGAAUUCCGCGUGUAGCAGUGAAAUGCGUAGAUAUGCGGAGGAACACCGAUGGCGAAGGCAAUCCCCUGGGCCUGUACUGACGCUCAUGCACGAAAGCGUGGGGAGCAAACAGGAUUAGAUACCCCCGUAGUCCCUGUCUCUUAUAC